rnacentral:rRNA from 1 species
CUCCUACGGGGCGCAGCAGUAGGGAAUCUUCCACAAUGGGGGAAACCCUGAUGCAGCAACGCCGCGUGAGCGAAGAAGUAUUUCAGUAUGUAAAGCUCUAUCAGCAGGGAAGAAAAUGACGGUACCUGAGUAAGAAGCUCCGGCUAAAUACGUGCCAGCAGCCGCGGUAAUACAUAUGGAGCAAGCGUUAUCCGGAUUUACUGGGCGUAAAGGGAGCGUAGGCGGCCUGCCAAGUCUGAUGUGAAAUACCGGGGCUCAACCCCGGGGCUGCAUUGGAAACUGGCAGGCUGGAGUGCCGGAGAGGG